rnacentral:lncRNA from 1 species
GUCCCCGUCUCCCCGCUUGGCGGGCAGGGGGUUGUGCGCGAUGCAGUGGACGGGUACUGGGCUGAGCGCGGGACUCCCGGUUCCAUAAAGAUGUGGGGCGGGUGGGGGGAGCAAGGACGAGUGCCUGCCUGGACCCCCCUGGCUCCUGGCUCCCAAGGAGUCGAGGGGAACGUCUCUACCGCCCUGCAGAGCCAGCAGCAGGGUCUUGAAAACUCAUCAAGAACAGAAACCUUGUGUGAUAUGCUGUUGUUCCCACAGAGGGCUGGACAUAUAGAGACGGGGUUUCAUCGCAUUAGCCAGGAUGGUCUCAAUCUCCUGAACUCGUGACCCACCUGCCUCGGCCUCCCAAAGUGCUGGGACUACAGGCAUGAGCCACUGCGCCCGGCCCAGAGGUGCCACGGGUUUCAAAAGUUUACGUCCUCCAGGAAGCUGCAUGAACCACUUAGGAUGCCGAAGCGAAACACCUAAAGACUCACCCAGACUUCCUGUGAGCCUGGCUCCGGAGCACACUGGUUACUGUUCACCUACAUUCAGGACAGCUCUGAAAAAAAUAUUGAACAAAGAUUGCUUGCCAGUUCCCUCACCGGAGGUUGAAUUCCAAAGGUUAUUUUCUUUAAGCCUUAAUCUCAAUCUUUUGAAGUCAAAUCCUUCCCAAGAUGGGUCCUCACAAAGUCCUAAGAACUGAACAAUGUGUCAUUAUGACACUUGCAGUAAUUUGCAAAUAGCAUUAGGGAAUUCAAGUAUUUGUAAGUCACUUCGCCUGGGUCAGCCAUGCCGUAAUCAAGAAAACUACAGUUCUAGGUUAAGGUUGGAGCAUUAGGUUGACCUAAUGCAAACAAUGAACAAUACGAGUAAAACUUUCUCUUUUUUCCUGAGAAAUAGUUAAUGUCACAAGUACAGUGCUUUCAUGUGACUACCACUAGUGUGGAAAGUGGGCCAUCAUUCAUUUAUCACCCUAAGGAGAUGAGAGAUUCUAGUGCUCAGAGCUACGCACCUGGGGAAGCCUUGGAAGUGGCUGGUGCCUGUUCCACAGCAGGUGUCCAGUUAAGUGUUAUCUCUCUUCUUCCUUCUCUUUUUUGUUUCUCCCUUCCCUCCCAUCCCCCAAAACACUGCCCCAGAGGAAAAGAUCCCCAAGUUACUGAAACUAGUGUAAUGAGUUAUUCCCACAGCUAUUCUCCUAUUGUUCUUCUUGAAAUCAUCAGCCCUGUGAUUAGCUUACUGCCUAAUUCGUUUAAUUAAUUACUAUAUGACAAGAUGUGUUAUCACAAAUACACACACGCACACACACACAUCUUUUAAAAAAUUUUUUUUAGGUUCAGGGGGACAUGUGAAGGUUUGUUACAUAGGUAAACCCGUGUCACAGGGGUUUGUUGGACAGAGUUUUGUCACCCAGGUAUUAAGCCCAGUACCCAAUAGUUACCUUUUCUGCUCCUCUCCCUCCUCCCACCCUCCACCCUCAAGUAGACCCCAGUGUCUGUUGUUUCCUUCUUUGUGUUCAUAAGUUCUUAUCAUUUAACUCCAACUUAUAAGUCA